AUUGAACGCUAGCGGGAUGCUUUACACAUGCAAGUCGAACGAGUGGCGGACGGGUGAGUAAUUUAUCGGAACGUGCCUAGUAGCGGGGGAUAACUACUCGAAAGAGUGGCUAAUACCGCUUACUAUUGGAUGGGCCGAGAUCGGAUUAGCGUGUUGGUGGGGUAAAGGCUCACCAAGGCGACGAGCCCUAGCUGGUUUGAGAGGAAGACCAGCCACACUGGGACUGAUACACGGCCCAGACUCCUACGGGAGGCAGCAGUGGGGAAGAUUGGACAAUGGGGGAAACCCUGAUCCAGCCAUCCCGCGUGUAUGAGAAGGCCUGCGGGUUGUAAAGUACUUUUGGCAGAGAAGCGGUAUCUGCAGAAUAAGCACCGGCUAACUACGUGCCAGCAGCCGCGGUAAUAC
rnacentral:rRNA from 1 species